AGUCGAGGGGUAUAGUUCUUCGGAGCUAGAGACCGGCGCACGGGUGCGUAACGCGUAUGCAAUCUACCUUUUACAGAGGGAUAGCCCAGAGAAAUUUGGAUUAAUACCUCAUAGUAUAAUGACCUGGCAUCAGGAUAUUAUUAAAGUCACAACGGUAAAAGAUGAGCAUGCGUCCCAUUAGCUAGUUGGUAAGGUAACGGCUUACCAAGGCUACGAUGGGUAGGGGUCCUGAGAGGGAGAUCCCCCACACUGGUACUGAGACACGGACCAGACUCCUACGGGAGGCAGCAGUGAGGAAUAUUGGACAAUGGGCGCAAGCCUGAUCCAGCCAUGCCGCGUGCAGGAUGACGGUCCUAUGGAUUGUAAACUGCUUUUAUACGAGAAGAAACACUACUUCGUGAAGUAGCUUGACGGUAUCGUAAGAAUAAGGAUCGGCUAACUCCGUGCCAGCAGCCGCGGUAAUACGGAGGAUCCAAGCGUUAUCCGGAAUCAUUGGGUUUAAAGGGUCCGUAGGCGGUUUAGUAAGUCAGUGGUGAAAGCCCAUCGCUCAACGGUGGAACGGCCAUUGAUACUGCUGAACUUGAAUUAUUAGGAAGUAACUAGAAUAUGUAGUGUAGCGGUGAAAUGCUUAGAGAUUACAUGGAAUACCAAUUGCGAAGGCAGGUUACUACUAAUUGAUUGACGCUGAUGGACGAAAGCGUGGGUAGCGAACAGGAUUAGAUACCCUGGUAGUCCACGCCGUAAACGAUGGAUACUAGCUGUUGGGCGCAAGCUCAGUGGCUAAGCGAAAGUGAUAAGUAUCCCACCUGGGGAGUAC
rnacentral:rRNA from 1 species